rnacentral:rRNA from 1 species
UACGUAGGAGACUAGCGUUGUCCGGAAUUACUGGGUGUAAAGCGCGUGUAGGCGGCAUACUAAGUCUGUUGUGAAAUCGCCCGGCUCAACUGGGCGGGGUCAAUGGAAACUGGUAAGCUGGAGGACGGUAGAGGCGAGUGGAAUUCCCGGUGUAGUGGUGAAAUGCGUAGAGAUCGGGAGGAACACCUGUGGCGAAGGCGGCUCGCUGGGCCGAUCCUGACGCUGAGACGCGAAGGCGUGGGGAGCGAACGGG